rnacentral:lncRNA from 1 species
AUGACUUACCGGCGGUGGCUCCGCGGCGUGCGCCCUGCCAGGAGGGGCCUGUGCUCGAGGAGCAGGCCUGGCGAGUAGCCCAGCCACUCCACGUUGAGCCGGGACUUGCCGCGCAACAUGGUCCUCCUGGGCGGGCGGCGGCUACGCCGCCCCCUGAACUCGCGUGAACACUGGUCCUCGUCUGCGUCUCGGUCGCUGAGCUGGGGGCCGCAAGGAGACCCGAGCAUAUGAGCCGCGAAGAGGGACUACCAGCCAGAGGGCUGUGGUGCUAGGCAACUGAGCGUAUUCCGCCGACGACAACACAAAAAAGCAGUGCGCAUUAUUUCGCCACUACUUGAGCAAAUAAAUGCCUCAUUAAUUACUGCCCGCAGUGGUAGGAAGUCAAGCCCUUGGCAGCUGGGAGGAGUUAAAACACUCACCCGAGUCCGUAAAACUAGAGAAUGUCAGAGUUCAAAGAGCUCUUGCUGAGAAUGACUGUUCCAGACUCGAUGCCAGUGACCCCCAACUUCCACUUAAAAGUUAAAAACAUAUUUUGCAGCUGCUCAGAAAGCCGCCAAUGAGACAACAGGGACUCAAAUAGUAAGAACAGAUGGGCCUCCCGGGCCUGCGCAACCCGAGAGAGGUAAAAACGAAAGGGUGGGUAAGUCUGGAGUCAGGCUUGACAAAAUUAAGUUGCCACUGGCUGCUAAUAAGAGGACAGCCCUUAACAUGGUCAGCGCCUGGAAAGGGCCGCUGACCACACAGCUAUUUUCUGCACCACAUGGAUACAAAGACCACAUCUGAAAUCAUGACUAAACCAGCAGCUUAGAGUGGUGGAAAGGGCAAUGGACUGGGCAGCAGGAAGUCCAGGUUUUAGUUCAAACUGAAUAAUCCCCCUCUAGGGCUGACUGUGCUGGCUCACGCCUGUAAUCUCAACACUUUGGGAAGCUGAGGCAGGAGGAUUGCGUGAGGCCAGUAGUUCCAGAGCAGCUUGGGCAGCAUAGCAAGACUCCGUCUCUAAAAAACAAACUGUAAAAUAUUUAAUAAAAAUAAUAGUAAUCUCUAUCUGGGCCUCAUCUAGACCUUUAGGUGAGUAAGAACCACCUAAUGUAAGAACUUGGGGUACAAAGAGAAUCUAGCUCUGGGGUAGGCAAACUGAGCCAGCCGACCUAAUACAUGGAGCCUACCACCUGUUUUUCUACAGCCCUGAGGUAAGAAUGGUUUUUCCUUUUUAAAUUGUUGAAAACGUCAAAAGAAUAACAUGACACGUGAAAUUUAUAUGAAAUUCAAAUUUCAGCGUCUAUUGAUAAAAUUUUAUUGGAGCUCAGCCAUUCUCAUUUGUUUGUAUUAUCUACAACAGCAAUGUUGAGUAGUUGUGACAGAGACGGUAUGAUCUGCAACGCCCAAAAUGAUCUGCAAUGCCCAAAAUUCUUACCAUCUGACCCUUUUACAGAAGAGUUUGCUGACCCCUGCUCUAGCUAAUCAGCCUGCAGUGAGGUCCUUCAAUCCCUAGGGACCCAUAAAUGUAGUAAUGGUGGUUCUGAAGGCAGUU